rnacentral:rRNA from 1 species
CCUACGGGAGGCAGCAGUAGGGAAUUUUGCGCAAUGGGCGAAAGCCUGACGCAGCAACGCCGCGUGAGCGAGACGCCAUUCGGGGUGGAAAGGUCUGUCAGUGGGGACGGAACUUGACGGUACCCACAGAAGAAGCACCGGCUAACUACGUGCCAGCAGCCGCGGUAAUACGGGGGGGGCAAGCGUUGUCCGGAUUCAUUGGGCGUAAAGGGUGCGUAGGCGGCAGGGCAAGUCUGGUGUGAAAGGCAAAGGCUUAACUUCUGUACGGCACUGGAUACUGGGGAGCUAGAGUGCGGUAGAGGUAAAGGGAAUUCCUGGUGUAGCGGUGAAAUGCGUAGAUAUUAGGAGGAACAUCGGUGGCGUAAGCGCUUUACUGGGCCGUAAUUGACGCUGAGGAACGAAAGCCAGGGUAGCAAAUGGGAUUAGAUACCCGUGUAGUC